GAUGAAGAACGCAGCGAAAUGCGAUAAGUAAUGUGAAUUGCAGAAUUCAGUGAAUCAUCGAAUCUUUGAACGCACAUUGCGACCGCCAGUAUUCUGGCGGGCAUGCCUGUUCGAGCGUCAUUUCAACCAUCAAGCCCCCGGCUUGUGUUGGGGACCUGCGGCUGCCGCAGGCCCUGAAAACCAGUGGCGGGCUCGCUGUCACACCGAGCGUAGUAGAUUUUCAUCUCGCUCAGGGCGUGCUGCGGGUUCCGGCCGUAAAAAGCCUUAUUUACCCAAGGUUGACCUCGGAUCAGGUAGGAAGACCCGCUGAACUUAAGCAUAUCAAUAAGCGGAGGA
rnacentral:misc_RNA from 1 species